rnacentral:rRNA from 1 species
GACGUAGGUGGCGAACGUUAUCCGGAAUUAUUGGGCGUAAAGGGUGCGUAGAUGGCCUGACAAGUUAACAGUGGGAAAUCGAGGCUCAACCUCGUGGAAACUGAUAAUACUGUCUGGCUCGAGUGCAGGAGAGGUUAACGGAACUCCAUGUGGAGCGGUAAAAUGUGUAGAUAUAUGGAAGAACACCAAUAACAGCGAAGGCAGUUAACUAUUCUGUUCCUGACACUGAGACACGAAGGCCAGGGGAGCAAACGGG